GUGCAGCCGCCGCGGUAAUACCGGCAGCUCAAGUGAUGUCCCAUAUUAUUGGGCCUAAAGCGUCCGUAGCUGGCCGACCAAGUCUCCCGGGAAAUCCACCCGCCCAACGGGUGGGCGUCCGGUAGAAACUGGCCGGCUUGGAACCGGAAGGCUCAGAGAGUACGUCCGGGGUAGGAGUGAAAUCCCGUAAUCCCGGACGGACUACCGAUGGCGAAAGCACUCUGAGAAGACGGCUUCGACAGUGAGGGACGAAAGCUCGGGUCUCGAACCGGAUUAGAUACCCUAGUUCC
rnacentral:rRNA from 1 species